rnacentral:lncRNA from 1 species
UGAAAUUUCCACUUGAAUUAUUUCUUCUAUUAUCUUGGCUAUGAUUACCACCGAAGUGGUUACCAUUUCUGGCAUGAUAAUUUCCUCCACGAUGGUUGUCAUUGUUCCGAUGACCGUUACCACCGGUACGAUUAUCAUCGAGUUGUUGGUCCUUAUUCUUCGGUUGAGCUGACUCAUUAUCGCGCUCCAAUAACUGAGCCCUAU